CAUUUCUGUGGAAAGAAAUACUUGUUGCCAAAUGAGAAGGAUGUCAACUCCCUGCUCCCUGCUUGUGAGAGCUGUGUGCACACACUGGUUUGGGUGGUUUUCCUCCUGGAAGUGGCCUGGCACCCCUGGAGCUACAGAAACUCAUUGCAUCAGAAUAGUUCUUCACUGCAGGACAGCAGCUUUACCAUACUGCAAAUGUUGUUCCUGAUUCAUCCCUUCAGAAAUACCUCAUGCACAAGUCCCACAGCACUGAUGUUUUUUGGCUUAAAGAGGGCACAAGUUGUGGCCCUCUGAGUCAAGCAAACCUGAUUUGUACUUCUUCAGGGUAAAAACUCUUUGUUUUCCCAGUGCCCAUCCUGAUGUCCAUCCA